AACGCUAGCUACAGGCUUAACACAUGCAAGUCGAGGGGAAACGAUAUUGGAAGCUUGCUUCCGAUAGGCGUCGACCGGCGCACGGGUGAGUAACGCGUAUCCAACCUGCCCACCACUUGGGGAUAACCUUGCGAAAGUAAGACUAAUACCCAAUGACGUCUCUAGAAGACAUCUGAAAGAGAUUAAAGAUUUAUCGGUGAUGGAUGGGGAUGCGUCUGAUUAGCUUGUUGGCGGGGUAACGGCCCACCAAGGCGACGAUCAGUAGGGGUUCUGAGAGGAAGGUCCCCCACAUUGGAACUGAGACACGGUCCAAACUCCUACGGGAGGCAGCAGUGAGGAAUAUUGGUCAAUGGGCGAGAGCCUGAACCAGCCAAGUAGCGUGCAGGAUGACGGCCCUAUGGGUUGUAAACUGCUUUUAUAAGGGAAUAAAGUUAGUCUCGUGAGACUUUUUGCAUGUACCUUAUGAAUAAGGACCGGCUAAUUCCGUGCCAGCAGCCGCGGUAAUACGGAAGGUCCGGGCGUUAUCCGGAUUUAUUGGGUUUAAAGGGAGCGUAGGCCGGAGAUUAAGCGUGUUGUGAAAUGUAGGCGCUCAACGUCUGCACUGCAGCGCGAACUGGUUUCCUUGAGUACGCACAAAGUGGGCGGAAUUCGCGGUGUAGCGGUGAAAUGCUUAGAUAUCACGAAGAACUCCGAUUG
rnacentral:rRNA from 1 species